AACUUUCGGCAACGGAUCUCUUGGCUCUCGCAUCGAUGAAGAACGCAGCGAAAUGCGAUCAGUAAUGUGAAUUGCAGAAUUCAGUGAAUCAUCGAAUCUUUGAACGCACCUUGCACCCUUUGGCAUUCCGAAGGGUAUGCUCGUUUGAGUGUCAUUGUACUCUCAUGCUCCCGAUGCUUUUGGAUCGGGAGUGGUGGACUUGGGUGUUGCUGCUUUACUGUGGCUCACCUCAAAUGGAGUAGUGCAACUCUUGGUUGGACAUAGUACGGCGUGAUAAGUGUCUUCGCCGGCGCCUCAUUAGAGGGUGGCCGAUCGGGAGCUCUGUGCUUCAAACCGUCUUCGGACAACAUCUGACAACUUGACCUCAAAUCGAGUAGGACUAACCGCUGAACUUAAGCAUAUCAAUAAGCGGAGGCU
rnacentral:misc_RNA from 1 species